rnacentral:rRNA from 1 species
AAUCAACGCUGGCGGCGUGCCUAACACAUGCAAGUCGAGCGAGAAAAGGGGAGCAAUCCCCUGAGUAAAGCGGCGCACGGGUGAGUAACACGUGGGUAAUCUGCCCUGAAGUGGGGAAUAACACCGGGAAACCGGUGCUAAUACCGCAUAUGAUCACGGUGUCUGCGGACACAGGGAUGAAAGGAGCAAUUCGCUUCAGGAGGAGCCCGCGGCUGAUUAGCUAGUUGGUGAGGUAAUGGCUCACCAAGGCAACGAUCAGUAUCCGGUCUGAGAGGACGGUCGGACACACUGGAACUGAGACACGGUCCAGACUCCUACGGGAGGCAGCAGUGGGGAAUUUUUCGCAAUGGGGGCAACCCUGACGAAGCAACGCCGCGUGGGUGAUGAAGUCUCUUGGGACGUAAAACCCUUUCGACAGGGAAGAAACCGCAAGGUUGACGGUACCUGUAGAAGAAGCCCCGGCUAACUCCGUGCCAGCAGCCGCCGUAAGAC